rnacentral:rRNA from 1 species
UACGUAGGGUGCAAGCGUUAAUCGGAAUUACUGGGCGUAAAGCGUGCGCAGGCGGUUGUGCAAGACAGAUGUGAAAUCCCCGGGCUCAACCUGGGAACUGCAUUUGUGACUGCACGGCUGGAGUACGGCAGAGGGGGAUGGAAUUCCGCGUGUAGCAGUGAAAUGCGUAGAUAUGCGGAGGAACACCGAUGGCGAAGGCAGUCCCCUGGGCCUGUACUGACGCUCAUGCACGAAAGCGUGGGGAGCAAACAGG